rnacentral:lncRNA from 1 species
AAUUUUGGGGUCUAGUAAUUUAUACAGCCAAGACAUUUUAACGCUAUAACAAAAAUAGUAAAUAUUAGGCAUCUUAAGACCGCCAUCACAGUGUUCGGACAUAACCACUGUUCUUUUCACUUUAUCUGGUUUUCCUUUCCAUAAAAAAAUUGAAAAAUAUAUUUUGAAUCUCCUUCAAAACCCCAUCUGGGGGGUUAGGGAGGACAGUCAGAACUUGAACCAAAAUGGGAAGUGCUAAAGUUUUAAUCACAACCACCCUCCCAAUAUAUGUUAGUUCUCUAUAAGCCCAAGUAUUAAGAAGUGACUUGAUACUGUUUAUCUUGGCUGUAAAAUUACAUAGAGUCUUAUCCCUUUUAGCAAGCUCAAACCAUAUACCUAAUAGUUUGAACCUCCCAGAAAGGUUUCCAAACAAGAUUUUUUUCUGGUAAAAGUUUUUCCAUACUACCCUUUUUUGACCCAAUCCAUAUGGCUUCAGUUUUGUCAACCUAAGUCCAGCACAUUCUGAAAAUU